CCUACGGGAGGCAGCAGUAAGGAAUAUUGGUCAAUGGACGAAAGUCUGAACCAGCCAUGCCGCGUGAAGGAUGAAGGCCCUCUGGGUUGUAAACUUCUUUUAUAGGGGACGAAAAAAGGGCAUUCUUGCUCACUUGACGGUACCCUAGGAAUAAGCACCGGCUAACUCCGUGCCAGCAGCCGCGGUAAUACGGAGGGUGCAAGCGUUAUCCGGAUUUACUGGGUUUAAAGGGUGCGUAGGUGGGUUGGUAAGUCAGCGGUGAAAUCUUCGAGCUUAACUCGGAAACUGCCAUUGAUACUAUCAAUCUUGAAUCAUCUAGAGGUAAGCGGAAUAUGUCAUGUAGCGGUGAAAUGCUUAGAUAUGACAUAGAACACCAAUUGCGAAGGCAGCUUACUAUGGAUGUAUUGACACUGAGGCACGAAAGCGUGGGGAUCAAACAGGAUUAGAUACCCUGGUAGUCCACGCCCUAAACCUAUGGAUACUCGACAUUUGCGAUAUACUGUAAGUGUCUGAGCGAAAGCAUUAAGUAUCCCACCUGGGAAGUACGAUCGCAAGAUUGAAACUUAAAGGAAAUUGACGG
rnacentral:rRNA from 1 species